rnacentral:misc_RNA from 1 species
AAGAUUCGGCUCUCGAGCCAAACCUCUCCAGCUGUGCGCUUUGGCUGCACGCUGUUGAACCUCGCACACCUUGUGAACAUUCCGGUUGUGAGUGGCCUUUGGCUGCUUACUUCCGCCUUUACAUAAAACUACAAAGUCUAGAAUGUAAAAACUAUAAAGUAA